CUUCUACGUCGUCCGAGUAGGCCACAUGUUCACUAGCUAAAGCUUCUAACUGGUCUGUAGACUGCGAUGGGGUUCCAGAAAUUUCGACAACAGCAACUUGACCGUCAGAUGGAGAUUUUCCUGGUGAGGUACAGAACUGGAAAUUGCUGGAACAAAACAUUGUCUUUAGCUUUAGAUCAGAAUUGGUAAUUUCUGGAGAUCAGAGCUGGUAGUUGUCAGAUGGUAGAAUCGGUAAUUCCAAUAGAUUAGAACAGCUGAGGAGAUAUGGUGG